CAAAAAAAUUGGACUUGGUUGAAGAGCGAGUGUUGUGUUCAUGCACAGAGUGUGUUGGAGUGUGGUCAAGUCUUUUCCACUAGCAAGCAGGCAGGCAUCAUCGGCGAAGAGCUUGGUUAGAAGAUUAGAGCAGUUCGACAAGUCAUUUACAGAGAGUAAAAAAGCCAAAGGCUCGAUAAUUGAACCCUGGACAAUUCCGCACUGAAUGGGCAACAUUGGGGACUUAUGAGAACCUAAUUCAACAAAUUGAAAACGACCACUCAGGUUCAAUAUUAUUUGGUGAACCUCGGAAGGUGUCGUUUGCUCCAGAAAAAAAGAGUGCUGUGAGGGAGCACUCAAGAAAGCUUUGAAAGGUUU